rnacentral:lncRNA from 1 species
UUCGAUUCGACAUUGUUUCAACAUGUGGGUUCUCUCUCAGGUAUCGAAUAAUAUCACUAGACAAUCUCUCCAUCAAAGGUCUUGUGCAAAGUGUGUGUCAUCUUGGAAUUUAGAGUACAAAUCGGUCGAUACAAGUUUCAAAAAGACAUUUAUUCGCAAAGGUUCGAUUCGACAUUGUUUCAACAUGUGGGUUCUCUCUCAGGUAUCGAAUAAUAUCACUAGACAAUCUCUCCAUCAAAGGUCUUGUGCAAAUGUGUGUGCCAUCUUGGAAUUAAGAGUACAAAUCGGUCGAUACAAGCUUCAAAAAGACAACCUUACUCAACUACGUUCAAAUUAUCUAAAAGACACUACAUAUAUAUACUUUUAUGAAAACAUGCUCUUCUUUUUUUUCUUUUUUUUCUUUUUUUUUGCAUUGACUUUAUUUUGUCCGUUUUCUUAGGCAAACAAUGUUACCCAUGUAGCGAGCUUUGGGUCAGUGACUCCCAAACCAAACGGUCUUAGGGCACUAGGUUUUGAAAUCCCCCUACGGACUUAAUUGCUCGAGUAACAAAGGCCACAAAACGAGACUAGCCAAUCUACUUUUGCCCAUUUAUCUAAAGAUUUUAUCUAUAAAGAACAAUGGGUAUUGAAGUAGUUAUUCCUUUUUUUUUCUAUCCUUUUUUUUUUCUCUUUUUUUUUUUUUUUUUUUAUUCGCAAAGGUUCGAUUCGACAUUGUUUCAACAUGUGGGUUCUCUCUCAGGUAUCGAAUAAUAUCACUAGACAAUCUCUCCAUCAAAGGUCUUGUGCAAAGUGUGUGUCAUCUUGGAAUUUAGAGUACAAAUCGGUCGAUACAAGUUUCAAAAAGACAACCUUACUCAACUACGUUCAAAUUAUCUAAAAGACACUACAUAUAUAUACUUUU